rnacentral:lncRNA from 10 species
AGUUUUGCUCUUGUUGCCCAGGCUGGAGUGCAAUGGCAAGAUCUCAGCUCACCACAACCUCUGCCUUCUUUUUUCUUCUGUUUUUAAAACUUGUGGUAAAAUCUAGAUAACAAAAAGUUUGCCAUUUUAACCAUUUUUAAGUGGACAGUUCAGUGGCAUUAGUUACAUUCCCAAUGUUGUGUAACCACCACUAUUAUCCAUUUCCAGAAGGUUUUCAUCACCCGAAACAGAAACUCUGUACCCAUUAAAUAGUAACUCCCCAUUCUACCCUUCUCUCCCUCCAUAACCUCUGUUUUACCUUCUGCAUCCAUCAAGUUGCCUGUUAUAGAUAAUUCACAUAGAAUCAUUCAGUAUUUGUUUCUUUUUGUAUCACGUAUCAAAAUUUCCUUUUUUUUUUUUUGCUUUUGAGACAGUCUUGCUUUGUCGCCCAGGCUGGAGUGCAGGUGCACAACCAUGGCUCACUGCAGCCCUCACCUCUCCUGCUCGAGAGUUCCUCCCACCUCAGCCAUCUGAGUAGCUGGGACUACAUGUGUGCGCCACCAUACCCAACUAAUUUUUUGGUUUUUUUUGUACAUACGGGGUUUUGCCAUGUGGCCCAGGGUGGUCUCGAACUCCUGGGCUGAAGUGAUCCACCCACCUUGGUCUCCCAAAGUGUUGGGAUUACAAGCAUGAGCCACUGCGCUGGAAUGCAAUGACACGAUCUCAGCUCACUGCAACCUCUGCCUCUCGGGUUCAAGUGAUUCUCCUGCCUCAGCCUCCCAAGUAGCUGGGAGUAGAGCCAUGCGCCACCACGCCCGGCUAAUUUUUGUAUUUUUAGUAGAGACGGGGUUUCGCCAUGUUGGUCAGGCUGAUCUCGAUCUCCUGACCUCAGGUGAUCACCUGCCUCAGCCUCCCAAAGUCCUGGGAUUACAGACGUGAGCCACUGCGCCUGGCCUAUGCUUUAAAAUAAAAAUAGAGAUUGGGUGUCUGGCUAUUAUGUUGCCCAGGCUGGUCUUGAACUCCUG